GCCGAGAAGGCGGGCCCCGCCUGAGGUCUGGCAAUCAGUGACAGAGUCGGGUGCCCACUGCCCAAGCGUCACCAACAGCAUCAUGCCCGCACUUCUGGAGCGCCCCAAGCUUUCCAACGCCAUGGCCAGGGCUCUGCACCGGCACAUCAUGAUGGAGCGGGAGCGCAAACGGCAGGGUGAGCCUGGGCCAGAGCGGGAGGACAGACACUCGGCCCAGGGUGGCUCUGCUAUCUACGAACUUGCCCCCAUCCACGGGCCCAGCUGUGCGCCUGCUGGCGAGGCUAAGAGGGAGGCAGCGCGCCUUCGGGGUGUGAGUGAAGAGGCCCAGUCUAAGUUCCAGAACCCUGGGCUGGGAAGGACCUUGGAGAGCACCUAAUGAAGCCAAGUUCUCCCUGUGGCUGUGAUGGAAUAACUGGUUUUUGCUGGUCUUCAGUCUAACGCUCAGCUUAUAUUUACACCGCCUUGCCACUUCCCCGUUCUGAUUCUUCAGAGGAGGAAGAGGUGGACAAGAUGAUGGAACAGAAGAUGAAAGAAGAACAGGAGAGAAGAAAGAAAAAGGAAAUGGAAGAGAGAAUGUCACUAGAAGAGACCAAGGAACAAGUAAGUCGCCUCUCAUCACUUCUAUUUCUAGCUUCUUUCUUUUCCCUACUUUAUCUGCUUAUCCCUCUUCUAGAUUCUGAAACUGCAGCAGAAGCUUUCAGCUCUACAGGAAGAGAAACACCAGCUUUUCUUGCAGCUCAAGAAA
rnacentral:lncRNA from 1 species